AUGGGCAGUAACGAUGCCCUUACGGCCGGCCCGGUCACAGAAAAAGAAAAAGAAGGAGCUUCCGCACCGGCGGCCACUACCACACCACACGCCAACAUACCGGAGAUUAUGUCCUCGCUGCCCACGGCGGCAGGGUUCCCCCCCUUCCAGUUGCGCCGGUACGGCGGCUUCUGGCUGACCGACAGAUAUCUGGAGUUUAUCGGCGCGGGCGCGUUCCACGCCCGCUUCAAGCCGAGGCCGACCGACGUGCUCCUCGCGAGUUUCCCCAAGUCUGGAACCACCUGGCUCAAGGCACUCGGCUUCUGCGCGCUCAACCGCGUGGCCCACCCGCCGUCUGCUGGUUCCGGCCACCCGCUCCACUGCGGCAGCCCCCACGACCUGGUGCGCUUCGUCGAGGGCCAUGAUGAUCUGCUAUACGAGGAGCUCCCUCAUCCCCGGCUGCUAGCCACCCACCUACCCUACUCGUUGCUGCCCGACGGUGUCACGGGCAAGGAGGACGGCUCCGGCGGCCGGAUCGUGUACGUCUGCCGGGACCCCAAGGACACGCUGGUUUCCUUCUGGCACUUCCACCAGAAGACCACGUCGGUGUUGCAGCAGGUGCCCGGCAUGAGCGCGUCGUCCCCCGCCAUGCCCACUUUCGAGGAGGCGUUUGAGCUCUUCUGCCAGGGCCAGACGGUGACGGGGUGCCUGAAGAAGAUGGCGUCCUUCAUGGGGUGCCCCUUCUCGCCGGAGGAGGAGGCGGCCGGGGUGGUGCGGGAGGUCGUGGAGCUCUGCAGCUUGGGUAAGCUCAAGGGGCUGCAGGUGAACAAGAGCGGAAGCACGGUGCUGGGGAUUAAGAACGAGGCAUUCUUCAGGAGCGGGACGGUGGGGGAUUGGAGUAGCUGCAUGACUCCGGCCAUGGCGGCACAGCUGGACGGGAUCGUCGCGGAGGCGCUCAGGGGCUCCACGCUCACCUUUGGGCCUUUGGCACCUCCAAUAAUUUGUGAGCCUGGCUUCCUAUAA
rnacentral:rRNA from 1 species